rnacentral:rRNA from 1 species
GAAAUGCGAUAAGUAAUGUGAAUUGCAGAAUUCAGUGAAUCAUCGAAUCUUUGAACGCACCUUGCGCUCCUUGGUAUUCCGAGGAGCAUGCCUGUUUGAGUGUCAUGAAAUCUUCAACUUACAAGCUCUUUGCGGGGUUUGUAGGCUUGGACUUGGAGGUUUGUCGGCCUUGAAUGGUCGGCUCCUCUUAAAUGCAUUAGCUUGAUUUCCUUGCGGAUCGGCUGUCGGUGUGAUAAUGUCUACUCCGCGACCGUGAAGCGUCUGGCAAGCUUCUAACCGUCUCGUUACRGAGACAGCUUUAUGACCUCUGACCUCAAAUCAGGUAGGACUACCCGCUGAACUUAA